rnacentral:lncRNA from 1 species
UGCAGGGCAAGAUCUGUGCGCCGGAUGAGUUCUGCGAGGAUUGGGAAAUACAGCCCCCUGCCUGUCUUAAGAAACAUGACUUCAGCCGAUGAAAAAAGGCUUCUGCAUAUUACGAAAAAUCAAGGGUGAAAAAACCUGCAGCAAGGAAAACAAAUUGGGAGAGCAUGAGCGACAUCAACUUGUUGACGAUUGAAUAAAGUUUCUUGUUAUCACGCACACCUUAAGGUGGAA